CAUCAGAGGGAUUCGUCCUUCUUUUCAACCUGAAUUCUCCGUUAUUAACUACGGCAUAACAUCAUAUAGGCACAACAAAGGAAGACUCAGCCACUUUCAGCUGCACACAGAUGGCAGACUCAGGGCUCCUGUGAGAACGGGGAGCCCUAUAAUCUACCUUGGACAUUACACAACUACAGAGAGGAUCGUUUAAGACAAGACAAGCAUAUCCAGGGAUGAGAUGGUAGAGAGAAGCAGAUGGCAAGGACCAUAUCUUGGAAAGUACACAUGGUUAAGAAACAGAGAAGGUAUGAGACAAGAGGCCCAACUGCUGUGCUCUGGAAGGGACCACAGGUGGCUUACAGAUGUGCUGAGGUGAGGGUCACCACU